rnacentral:rRNA from 1 species
ACGGGAGGCAGCAGUGGGGAAUAUUGGGCAAUGGGCGAAAGCCUGACCCAGCAACGCCGCGUGAAGGAAGAAGGUUUUCGGAUUGUAAACUUCUGUCCUUGGUGACGAAGGAAGUGACGGUAGCCAAGGAGGAAGCCCCGGCUAACUACGUGCCAGCAGCCGCGGUAAUACGUAGGGGGCAAGCGUUGUCCGGAAUGACUGGGCGUAAAGGGCGUGUAGGCGGCCGAUUAAGUCUGAAGUGAAAGUCCUGCUUUCAAGGUGGGAAUUGCUUUGGAGACUGGUUGGCUUGAGUGCGGAAGAGGUAAGUGGAAUUCCUAGUGUAGCGGUGAAAUGCGUAGAUAUUAGGAGGAACACCAGUGGCGAAGGCGGCUUACUGGACUGUAACUGACGUUGAGGCUCGAAAGCGUGGGGAGCAAACAGGAUUAGAUACCCUGGUA